rnacentral:rRNA from 1 species
GUUAAGCGACUAAGCGUACACGGUGGAUGCCCUGGCAGUCAGAGGCGAUGAAGGACGUGCUAAUCUGCGAUAAGCGUCGGUAAGGUGAUAUGAACCGUUAUAACCGGCGAUUUCCGAAUGGGGAAACCCAGUGUGUUUCGACACACUAUCAUUAACUGAAUCCAUAGGUUAAUGAGGCGAACCGGGGGAACUGAAACAUCUAAGUACCCCGAGGAAAAGAAAUCAACCGAGAUUCCCCCAGUAGCGGCGAGCGAACGGGGAGGAGCCCAGAGCCUGAAUCAGUGUGUGUGUUAGUGGAAGCGUCUGGAAAGGCGCGCGAUACAGGGUGACAGCCCCGUACACAAAAAUGCACAUGCUGUGAGCUCGAUGAGUAGGGCGGGACACGUGGUAUCCUGUCUGAAUAUGGGGGGACCAUCCUCCAAGGCUAAAUACUCCUGACUGACCGAUAGUGAACCAGUACCGUGAGGGAAAGGCGAAAAGAACCCCGGCGAGGGGAGUGAAAAAGAACCUGAAACCGUGUACGUACAAGCAGUGGGAGCACGCUUAGGCGUGUGACUGCGUACCUUUUGUAUAAUGGGUCAGCGACUUAUAUUCUGUAGCAAGGUUAACCGAAUAGGGGAGC